AUGCGGUUGAAGAACCAAAAAAAAAAAAAAAAAAGGAAAAAAAAAAACUGGGAGCAGGGAAGAAGAGAGCAUGGGAGAGGAGGGAAGAGCAUUGGUGGGAAGGGGCUGCUCUUUGCCAAGGCAGUCCUCCGAGCAAGCGUGUGCAAUGUUUGCUUCUCAGAUGCGUCUGAUUCUGGACCCAAGUUUCUCUAUGUCCCCAAACUUUCCGUACAGUUGUGGUUGUCUUGUGGAUGGAGAUAAGUGAGAAGAAAAUGGGUUUUACGUCUGUCGGUUCAGAGCAGAGACGAGGAUACCCGGAGUGGGGAGCAAGGAAUGAAAGUGUAGGCGUGGAGACCUGGAGUUUAUCCUGGGCCCCAUACCCCGAAAAUGAGGUCAGUCUUUACCCUCGCAUACCAUGAUCCUCUUGUCUUGGAGUUUGUGGAGGAAAGCCUGACACACUGCUGCCAACGUAGGGUAACUUGUUCCUAGGUGGACCAAAGGCAAGUAAAAUUAGAAACCUCAUCGUGGUAUCUCUUAUGUAUCUCUUCUCUCUUAGUGUUAGCUCUUAAUCAUUCAUGGAUUGUUUAUAUUACUAUUACUCUCUUAAUUAUAUCUUUUUUGAGCCUUUGAAUUUUCAUCUUUUGUGUUAAGUUCAGGUGUGCAUGUAUUUUCUAAAAACUACCAAGUUAUCCAAACAGAACAGAUGGAAUUUCAAGGUUAGGGAAUUUUUCUAAUAAUAAUUUAUGGUCCAGGGAUAAUGUGAUGAAGUAGGGUGGUGUGCACGUAGCUACCAACCUGAUAAUGUAUUUUCCAAGCACUGGACCAAAAACGGGAGGAAGAAUUUUUGGCUCUUGUUAGAAACGCUCUUAGAAUUUGUUAAUUACGGCUAAAGAAUGCUUUGAUGUAUUUUAGAAAAAUGGCUCAAUCGGUAGAGAUUUCAUCUGAUGUAAGAUUCUGCUUCCUGUGCAUUUUUCUCUUAAACUAUAAAAUUAGACUCUGUCUUAGUUUCUAAGAACACUGUAACACCCUUGUAAUGGUGGAACUGUUUAUCAAAGAGUGCAAAUUUUGUAUCUUCACGGUUGACAGUUCUUUUUCCUCAACCUCUGCCUUUUUGAGUGUUCGCAAAGCUCUGUAAAUGACAGGUGUACCCACAGUGCGCAGUACCCUGGGCUGUUUCUAGAGGUAGCGCUGAGUAGCGCCCUCACUGAGUAGCGCCCUCACUGAGUAGCAUCUUCACUGAUUAUUUAGCUUCCUCCAAACCGCUUAUGUGCGCUUUGGAUCAGGGAGAGAGCUCAGUGAGCUGUCACUACUUUACAUAAUUAAGCUUUUCUUGCUAAAAAAAGCACGUUACAAAAUAUGGGGUGAGAGGAUGCUUAAGGUUAGGUUUUAAAACAUCUUCCAUUCACAUUAUCUCCCCCAUUUAAAGUAGCCUGAAAUGAAAGCAGAAGAGCUGAGAUGCAGAGGGGUCCUGCUUGGGUCAGGCAGACAGGAGACAGCUCACACCUCACUGCAGAACUCGUAGGGGUCAGUGAUGAAUGGUGAGUGCCACACAGAAACAAUCUCCCAUUGUUCAAAAGCCCAUGGAUGUGGCAUGUGGGUGAGGCCAAGGGAGGGUAGGGAGAGACGGAGCUAACAGCUCAAAUGUACUGAAAUGACAGAUAAUUUCACGCUUCUCCUAUCACUUUAAAUUAGUACAAAAUCACUGUAAAAGACCUGUGCCUAAUCCCAGUUUUUCUAGUAGAAAAUAGGAUCCCGAAUUAGGUGGUCAGACUUCUCAUGCCUCCAUAGGACGUCCACUCACUUUCUAGAUCCGUGUGGAUGAAAACAAGUUUGCUCGCCCAGCUGCAUUGAAUCCCCUGUUUCUUCUUUUUGGAGUGGGCUGCUAUACCCAGUGGAAUUCCUGCCUGUAUUGAUGGAGCUCUCUGAAGUAUGGGGGUGUCUUUCUCUGGUUAGUGUAAUAGGGCAAAUUACAUUUGCUUAUCUAUUGCAAAUGAAAAUCACUUGGGGAAUAUACAAAGCACUUUCGGUUCUGCUACCGUUAUUUCAGAAGUAAUCAGAUGCAGAAGAGGGAGAGUCAAACGUGAAGGAAAAUGCUGAUAGAUUGGGCAAGCCGCAUGGCUCUCUGCGAGGACCAUUAUCACUUCCUUGUCAAGAGGAAAAUGCAACUUUGAAAGACGGUAAAUUCCAUCACAUGCAAUCAAUCAUUCAUCUCCCAUGGCAACAAUAAUUGCUGAGGAGGUAGUGUUCAGACAUUAAGUGUGUAGUUGUACCAGUUUGUUUGUUUCAAGACAUACUAAAUCUUUUGCAAUGUUAUGUGAACAUCCUCGUCCUACUAGAAUGUGGCUCCUAGUUGGCUUCUUCAGAUACUGGUACCUAGGUCACUAUUGCAUCCACAAAGAGCAAGGGUCUUGGCAUUGUCUUUUUCUGGAAUAUUUUUUUGCUUUCAUUCCAGAUUUCAAAAAAAGGUUAAUCUGUCUAUGUUUUAUGCAUUUUUCUACCUUUCUAAUCUGAAGGUGAUUUUAUUAAUACAGUAAAUCUUGGUUGACUGAUACUUUAGGAAGUUGCUUUUUCUGGGUGAACUAAAAGGCUCACAUGGUUCUUCCUGAUGGCUUUAAAUAUUAGCAAGUCUCUCUCCUCUACCCUCUUCCUAUUCAUAGUAUCCUUCAGUUUAGUGAUAGAAAGCAGGUGGUAGGGUUGUCAAUACUUGGCUUCCAUUAAAAACGAUCUCUGAGAUUGUAGUGUGUUUUCUCAUUAGUGGAUGUCUUGGGCUCAAAGGCUCAUAUGCCAGUUGGGAGAAAGAUAUAUCCUGUUUGAAACCAAUGUUCUCAGUGUCUUAGUGCCAUGAAAUCAGAUAUCAUGGCUUUUGCCUUUUUCAAAAAGCUUUCCAUUACGGGUUCUGGCUUUGUCUUUUUCUUUCUGACUUUGAAUAAAGCUUAGUCUCUAGGCCCA
ensembl:lncRNA